UACGAAGGGUGCUAGCGUUGUUCGGAAUCAUUGGGCGUAAAGCGUGCGUAGGCGGUUUGAUAAGUCAACUGUGAAAUCCCAGAGCUUAACUUUGGAAUUGCGGUUGAAACUGUCAUAACUAGAGUGUGGUAGGGGAUAGUGGAAUUCCUAGUGUAGGGGUGAAAUCCGUAGAUAUUAGGAGGAACACCGGUGGCGAAAGCGACUAUCUGGGCCAUUACUGACGCUGAGGUACGAAAGCGUGGGGAGCAAACAGG
rnacentral:rRNA from 1 species